rnacentral:lncRNA from 1 species
GCUGUUUAUGACGUCUUUACACUAAAUCCAUUGGAUGAUGGAUGUGUGCGGACUGAUAGUUUAGUCUUAGUUGCAUGAUUUUUUUAUUAGUUGUUAGUGGCUUUGAACUAGCUGUCAGAUAACGGCGAGUACUCUCAGAUCUGUUCAAUGUGUCUUUUUGUGUUGGGAUGUGUAAGUACCGGGCCACGUCCACAUGUAUUUUUGUCCAUCUGAUAAGUUAAGCCUUUUUCAACUGAUUUUUAUAGUUCGUUCUUAUGUUGUACUGUUAUACCACUGUCCCAGUUUAGGGGAGGGUUGGGAUCCCGCUAACAUGUUUAACCCCGCCACAUUAUUUAUGUAUGUGCCUGUCCCAAGUCAGGAGCCUGUAAUUCAGUGGUUGUCGUUUGUUUAUGUGUUACAUAUUUGUUUUUCGUUCAUUUUUUUUACAUAAAUAAAGCCGUUAGUUUUCUCGUUUGAAUUGUUUUACAUUUUCUUAUCGGGGCCUUUUAUAGCUGACUAUGCGGUAUGGGCUUUGCUCAUUGUUGAAGGCCCUACGGUGACCUAUAGUUGUUAAUGUCUGUGUCAUUUUGGUCUUUUGUGGAUAGUUG